AGAUCUGAAAACGGAUAUUGGAAAUGUAACCAAAGACGUUGAAAAGUUAAAAAGAGAAAUUUCAAAUAAAAAUGAUUUGGCAGAAGCUAGUACAGACCAGCUAAACCAAAUUAUUGGAGAAUACAAAUUUUUGAAAAAUAAAUUAAAUGAUAUUGACGAAGAAAGGACAAAUUUAGAAACUGCUAUAGAACGCCAGAAAGCUAUUCUUGAGACACAUCAUCUCAGCUUUAAUUCUGCUCAAAAGAAAAUAGAAUACAUCGAGCAAGAAAUUGAAGAACAAAAAGAUUCCGAACAGGAACUUAAACAUCGAAUAAAAGAAAUAACUGAUAAUAUACACAGGAUUACUAACAAAAUAUCAGAGGAAGAGGCCGUUUUUAUAAAAUCCAAUAAAGAACUGAAAAGAACAAACAUCGAAGUCCGAACAGCUAAAGAUAAAUUUGAAAAUCUGCUGAAACUUUAUGAAAGAGC